GUGCGAGGCUGCAGGAAGGCAAGACCCAGGGCCAAUGCACCCGCGGCGGGGAUCUGCCAGGAGACAGAACAUCGUGCCUCCAAGUCCCAAGGAGUUGGAUGAAUUGCCAGCAUUCGCGCCGCGCCUGCGAGCUGGUUAGCAGAGAUCUAAGCUCAAACUCCGGUCUGGGAGGAGAGACCAGCGAGCACUGCCUGGAGUGGGUCGCACGCCGGCACAGCACAGCGAAUCAAAAGUUAAUGCGGGAGUUCAAACCUCCAAGCCGCGGAAGAACUCAGCUGCUUUGAAAGGACUUAAGGCAGUGUGUGGAGGACGUCUCCCUUCUCCGUCGGUAAAGAGAGGUACAUCCACCCUGGGAUGGGAUUACCCCUCCCCUCCUCCUCCUCUUUCUGCUCUUCUUCUAGCCCCAGCAGCUGCUUGAUGGAGACCUCUUCUCCCCGCAUCUGAAUGGAACGUCUUUGCUCAGAGUCUACAGAAUGUCAAAACUGAGGCUCCUCAGAGCUACAGCUUUAAGAACCACUCCACACAAAGAGGCAGCUGGUUGCUUUAACGGAAACUGCCUUUAAGCUUCAAGAACUGAAGUCUUGGGGAAUACAUUUAUAAGGAGCAGAGAAAAAUGCAUUUCCAAGCUGUAUGUUCUUGGGAAAUACAAAAUAAAAUUUACCUGAAAAAAUGAGAAUUAACCUUAAUUAUGUAGCUGUUGAUUAAAGACGCCCCCAUUUAGAAUUUUAUGUUCCAUCUAUAAAUGCAUUUUGCAAAUUGCUGAUUGCUUAUCUGUACCCAUAUCAAAGGAAAAACAAAACAAAACAAAACAAAGGUGAAGCAUUAGAUUUCUGAAAGUUGAAGCACCUUAACUCAUCCACUUGGCAAGUUAAUUUGUUGUUUGCUUGUGUGCACACAAUUUUGUUUAUUUUUAACUCCCAAGUAGUCCAUUGCAAUGCACGUUCAGUGGCAUUUGACAUUGACGUUGUUUGAAUCCAUGGGUAUUCAUUUCUUUUCCCUUCUUCAAGCUACAGAUCUCAUCAUUAAAAAUGCCCCACUCUUUGUAGUCCCAAAGUGAAUAUUUUAUAAACAGGUUCGAAGACUUCUAACAUCAUAUCACCCAGGCAGUGUAAGCUGUUUCCUGGAUUACUUAGAGUAAAUUGUCAAAGGAAAGCCUGCUAAAUUUUGAGUGUUGAAUGUGAGGCCAGAAGAACGUAUAAAAUAUAAAGGAGACAUUUCAGGGACAAGCUAGACAGACCCUGUGUGGAGGAGUUAAAAUCUCAGGAACAGAACAUGAAGGGCUUGUGCCUUUUUAGUUCACUUCCUUGAAAUUCCGUUGUCAAAGUACCAAAGGUUAAAUAAAUUUCUAACAAUGAAACCUG
rnacentral:lncRNA from 1 species